GACAGAGGUGGCAAGCGUUGUUCGGAUUUAUUGGGUGUAAAGGGCAGGUAGGUGGUUAUACAAGUCUGGUGUGAAAUCCCAGGGCUCAACCCUGGAACUGCAUUGGAAACUGUAUGACUUGAGUACCGGAGAGGUGAAGGGAAUUCUCGGUGUAAGGGUGAAAUCUGUAGAUAUCGAGAGGAACACCAGUGGCGAAGGCGCUUCACUGGCCGGUUACUGACACUGAGCUGCGAAAGCAAGGGGAGCAAACAGG
rnacentral:rRNA from 1 species